UAAUUAAAAUUCCGUUGUAACGUAUGGGCAAUUUGCUAGUAUUAUUAAGAUAUUGCUACUACUUGGUUUCUGGCUAAUUUGCUAUGCAUUAUGUUUAGCAAUUGGACAUAUUCACUAGUGAUAGGGUUGUACCUCUUGUUAUUGUUUAUGAAUAACUAGUACUCCCUCCGUUUCAGAUUAUAAGACGUUUUGAUUUAACUCAAACUACUCUAAGUUUGAUUAAUUUUGUAGAAAAAGUAGUAAUAUUUUUAACCCAAGACAAAUAUAUUAUGAAAAUUUAUUCAAUUAUAGAUUUAAUGAAUCUAUGCUGGUGUUGUAAAUAUUACUAUUUUUUCCUACAGAGUUAGUCAAACUAAGAGUAGUUUGACUUUAACCAAAGUCAAAACGUCUUAUAACCCGAAACGGAGGGAGUAUAAUUCAUUAGCGGUAUAUAUCACCAUACACAUAUGUAGCUAACUAUGGCCUAUUAGUUGUCUCAUACCCUGACGUUACUGUAAAUUGAUCAUAUGCGAUUCUAGUUGUUUUACAAGAUGU
rnacentral:sRNA from 1 species